rnacentral:rRNA from 1 species
GUUCAGAAUAUGAAGAAGCUCAGAUUGAACGCUGGCGGGAUACUUUACGCAUACUGCAAGUCCGGGCAGCAGCACGGACUUCGGUCUGGUGGCGAGUGGCGAACGGGUGAGCCAAUGUAUCCGGAACGUGCCUGAAGUAGCGGGGGAUAACUACGCGAAAGUAUCUAUUGUCUGCCUCCGCCCAUCGGGGAAAGCGGGGGACCUUCAGACUCGCACUAUCACGACGGCGAUAUCGGAUUAGCCUAGUUGGUGGAGUAACGGCUCGCCAAGGCGACGAUCCGUAGCUGGUUUGAGAGGACGACCAGCUUUGCUGGGACUGAAGACCACAGCUGAACUUCUACACGAGAGCAACAGUUGGGUGCGGAUGUGGAGAGCACAGUCCAGCCAUCCCGCGUGUGCGAUGAAGGCCUUCGGGUUAUAAAGCACUUUUGGCAGGAAAGAAACGGCGGAUAAUACCCGUACAUACGGCCUACAAAGACCAGCACCAUGCUCCCGUGCCAGCAGCCGCCUGAUGGCCGCAUCCGAGGUGGCGAUAAUCCGGAAUUACUGGGCGUAAAGCGUGCACGAGGCGGUUCCGGAAGAAAGAUCGUAAAAUCUGGAGCUUAACCUGAACUGCAUUUUAACUACCGAGCUAGUGUGUCAGAGGAGGUGGAAUUCCGCGUGUAGCAGUGAAAUGCGUAGAUAUGCGGAGAACACCGAUGGCGAAGGCGAAGCCUCCUGGGAUAACACUGACGCUCUUACUGCAAAAAGCGAUGAGGAGCAAACGGGAUUAGAUACCUGAUGGUCCGCGCCCUAAACGAUGUCAACUAACUGUUGGGGCCUUCGGAGACCUUGGUGGCAGCUAACGCGUGAUUGACCGCGCGAAAUACGGUGCGAGAUUAAAACUCCAAAGGAAUUGACGAGAAUUGCACAACGGUGGAUGAUGUGGUUAAUUCGAUGCAACGCGAAACCUUACCUACCCUUGACGUAUCUACGGAAUCCCGAAGAGAUUUGGAGUGUCGCAAGAGAACCGGAACACAGGUGCUGCAUGGCUGGCUAAUCAGCUCGUGUCGUAGAAUGUUGGGUUAAGUCCCGCAGCGAGCGCAACCGCCAUGUUAGUUGCUGCGAGGCACUCUAAUGAGACUGCCGGUGACAAACCGGAGGAAGGUGGGGGUGACGUCAAGUCCUCAUAGCCCUUAUGGGUAGGGCUUCACACGUCAUACAAUGGUCGGGACUUGGGGUCGCCAACCCGCGGGGAGCCAAUCCCAGAAACCCGAUCGUAGUCCGGAUGUCGUCUGCAACUCGACUGCGUGAAGUCAGAAUCGCUAGUAAUCGCGGAUCAGCAUGUCGCGGUGAAUACGUUCCCGGGUCUGUGCACACCGCCCGUCACACCAUGGGAGUGGGUUUUACCAGAAGUAGUUAGCCUCUUUCAUGCAAGGAGGGCGAUUACCACGGUAGGAUUCAUGACUGGGUGAUCGUAACAAGGCC